rnacentral:lncRNA from 13 species
CAAUCCAACAUUCAGCAAUCAAUAGGUGCUAACUGCACAGUUCCAAAGAAUUCCAUUAUUGCAUGGCCUGAUAUGUAAUUAGCAGGUCAAAACGGUGAAAUUUCAUAAUUUCUAUUCGUCAAAUUUGAUUGGAAUAGUGAAAAUGCACAUGUUCCCAGUUAACAUAAUUACUGUAGUAAGGUUGGAGUUAAAUGACUUUCAUUUCCAUUUCACUGUGUUUAAUGGUUAUGUCAAGUCACAUUUGGCACCCACUUCAUUCUUCACCUCUAGUCUAAUCCCUCUAAGAAAUGUUACCUUGCUCAUCAUCUGUGGUCCUGGGGAAUAUAUAGUUGUGAAUGCCAUCAGUUGCCAGUCAUCGACUCGUUAACUAGACUGUCAAACUACCUUUCUCUGGGAAGGAUGAAAGUAAUCAUGACUUGUGUGAUGUCUCUAAGUGGUUUGCCAUACCUUUUUAACUGGGAACUCGAUCUCUGUCAUGUUCUGAACCCCACUCGUCUAAUUUGACCCACACAUGACUUAGUGUUGUUUCUACAUUGAAUUGGGAGAGAUAUUUCUAUUCUAGUCACUUCAAGCCAACUCUUGAAUAUCCUUGGGGUUCUUAUGAUGCCAGUAGUAGAAAACUGAGUGCAUUUUUACGGAAACAUGUCUUGUAAAGGAUGAUUCUACAGACUGUCAUACUGCAGUAACUCCCGACUUCGGUACUUUCUCAAGGUGUAAAUAUUGUACUAACUGUAUUGCACAGUGUUAGUGUAACCAUCGCACAAACACUAACACACGUCUCUCAGUACCUCAUUAAAUGGCAUAGCACGCUGUCUCCCAUGAGCUUUCAGCUUCAACGACAACACAUGUCCUCAUGAGACAAUGCCAAUGUUCCUACCAAAUGCAGAAUCAAACAUGCACUCUUCCAAACCAUUAUCUUUUCUGUAAGGUCUGUUGUUUUGCAAGGCUGUGUUCUUCUCAGAACCAUGUAUCUUUAAUCGUUUCUCUCUUUGUGUUCCAUGGCAGGGUCAAUGAGGAUGGAGGGCUGCUCACUCCACCUCUAACACGUCUGAACAGACACUGCUGCACAGAGGAUAAGAAAGGGUAUCGCCAUCCAUCUCACAGAGGCCACAAAUCUGCUCCUCCACUCCUCACGACUGAAAAGGGUGAGCCAGCAGCCGAAAACCAGCAAACUUGAGGAUGGGGAGAAACCAGAGGGAUUGCGAAUGAGUUGGCAGGUGAGAGCAAAAUGAGAGAAAGAGACAACCAGGGCUACAGGCUGAUGCUUGAUCAUCCUGAUCCUCAGGGCCUGAUUCUGCUCUAUCUGAUGAGGAUGGGAGUUUGAGUUACAGUGAUAUUCCAUCAUUGCCAUGACAUGUUCAAUGGUAAGGCUUAGAAACUAGGACUGGGUUUUGGGAUAGUCUUUGCCAAGUACACUCGUAAAAAAACGUGCUAUCUGAACCAAAAAAUUAUCUGGGUUAUUUGGCUGUCCCCAUACGAGACCCAUUUGAAGAAUCCCUUUUGGCUUCAUGUAGAACUCUUUUGGUUCCAGGUAGUACUCUUUUGGGUUCCAUAUAUAACCCUUUCCACACAGGGUUACAUGGAACCUAAAAGUGUUCUACCUGGAGGGUUCUCUUAUGGGGACAGCUGCAUAACUCUGAACCGUUUUUCUAGGAGUGUAGUGGCAUCCUAUCACAAUGAAAUGGAUAUCUUAUUUCCAAAAAUCUUCCUAGCAAAGCAUACAGUAACACCAAAGGUCCUCUAAUUAGUUACUCAUUGUGGAAGUAUGAUUCUGUAACAACUCUUGCAACAGAAAAAAUGAGUAUCAUGUUCAAGUAUUCUACUUUUGUUUACAAGUUAAUGUUGUCUAUAGUUAGCCCCUUGAUGGGUAACACUCCUUAGCUCUAUGAUAGCAAUACAUUUCUCCUCUGUGUUGUCCCCUCUGUAAUGGUGCUGCUGUGUUUGACAGAUGAAUAAUAGCUAGCAAGAGUUCUAGACUCACCCCAGCUCUGCAGUUCCCUGGGACACAGCUCAGGUCAGCUGAUUAAAAAGAUAACGAAUUGGUUUAAUAGAUGUUUGUUUUCCUCUGCAAUAUGUGUCCUUUUCCUCCAGACCCCGUGAGGGAGUUCUUUUUAUAAAUGACAAAUUGCGACAUUGAAUCGAGAAUGCUCCCAUCCCAAAAAACUGGGCAAAAACUGGUUUAAUCAACGUUGUUUACAUGUCAUAUAAACAACAAAAUGAUAUGGGAUGAUAUUGAAUCAGCAUGGAACACUGAACACUGAAAAAGUAAUCAAUGUAAGAUAUUUUUUUUAACACAACUUUUUACCUAAAUAAAAUGACAAGGUGUACUUUCUUUGUUGGUUUCACAUUGAAUUCACAUUAGUUGACAACAACCAAAUGUAAAUCAAAACUAGACAUUGAACUGACGUCUGUGCUUGGUGGGAAGUUGUCUUAGCCUUCUUGAUGUGGUGUUGACUCAAGCAAGUUGAUUAAGCUCACUUUCUUAAACGUUACAAGUAAGACUUAGUACACAUCCUCUGAGUGGCUCAUCUUAGCUUCUAUGGCACCACCCUCAGACAAUUCUCAUUUGUCCACCAGAUCCUGAUGGAUUGAAGGUAAUUAGCAUGUUAUUUGAAUUGCUUGUCUGGGUUGAUUGAUCAGCUAUGAAACUAGCAGACAGAAUAGUAACAUGUCUUGCAUAAUUUCUGAUCACCCAUGUUUUUGUUCAUUUUUUUUGUAGUUGAAGUGUAUGUUUGAGUGUGAGUGAGUGUGUGCAUGUUUCAGUAUAUGUGUGUCUGUGUGCUCCUCUUGUGUGUUACUGAUUGGCUAAAUCCAGAACCACCAUGAACUCAGCUGUAGCGCAAUAACAAACAUCAGUGUCAUUGCUUUAAUGUCCCCCAGCGCGUUUGAAAGGUAAACCUGGCAGAACACAAACAAUAGCACCGGUGCAUACUGAACGGGGCACAGGGCAUGAGAGAGCUCAUUUAGUUGUUAUUAACUUAAUAAAGGCACUCUAUUGUGGGAAUGACACUCCUCCAUCCCCACAAGGCCACAGGCUUGUUGUCUGAAUUUCUCAGUAAUGCGUCUCUGGAUCUCUUUUUGUCAUCGUCCACUCCUCUGAAGUUGUAUUGUAGCUCAUUCAGCAUGAGUCAUUAAACUCACUAACGGACACUUCAAGAUGAAAACAACCAUGAAAAAAUGCCUCUGGUUUAUAUCCUGAAACAGAAAUGCAUGUAGUUGUUAUUGUACCAUGCUAAUCCACACACACACACACAAACACACACAAAGGAUGCACAGAGGACACACUCUUGGGGCUUCUGUCCUUUCCUAUGUGAUGGAGCUUUUGACAUUGAUUGUGAAAUUAGCUAUAUAGGGUGAUUGAUUUAUACCGAUACAUAUAAUCUGGGGUAUUGUGUGUGAACUGUCCCACACACAAUACCCCAUGAAGUCAAAGUGCAAUUAUAUUUAAAAAUGAAAAGCUGAAAUGUCUUGAGUCAAUAAGUAUUCAACUACUUUGUUAUGACAAGCCUAAAUAGGUUCAGAAGUAAAGCAUUGCUUUACAAGUCACAUAACACGUUGCAUGGACUCACUCUGUGUGGAAUAAUAGUGUUUAACAUGAUUUUUGAAUGAAUACCUCAUCUCUGUACCCCACACAUACAGUGGGGCAAAAAUGUAUUUAGUCAGCCGCCAAUUGUGCAAGUUCUCCCACUUAAAAAGAUGAGAGAGUCCUGUAAUUUUCAUCACAGGUACACUUCAACUAUGACAGACAAAAUGAGAAAAAAAAUCCAGAAAAUCACAUUGUAGGAUUUUUAAUGUAUUUAUUUGCAAAUUAUGGUGGAAAAUAAGUAUUUGGUCACCUACAAACAAGCAAGAUUUCUGGCUCUCACAGACCUGUAACUUCUUCUUUAAGAGGCUCCUCUGUCCUCCACUCGUUACCUGUAUUAAUGGCAUCUGUUUGAACUUGAUAUCAGUAUAAAAGACAC